AAGGAGACAGUUUCCAGAAAGGGCUGCAGAGCACCAGGGAGCUGCGUCACAGCCGUUUCCCACAGGAAGGGAGGUGUCUGCACUGACCUUGUGCUGAUGAAAUCCUUGGCUGAUCCCGACAAGGUUCAGCUCCUGGAAUAUUAGUGACAAAGCUGACAUCCUCAGGACUCUGUGGAGCAUGACUGGGAACAGCAUGAACUGCAGAGCCCAGGACUGGGAAGCACAAUUAAAUAAAUACCCCCUUUUCCUGUGCACAAAGGGAGAAUUUAUUCUCUGGUCAAAAAGCCAAGUGCUGUUCCAGCAGUUCUUCAUUAUAGGCAUGUGCUUAUUGGCUGUAAUAAAGUGUCAGAGAGGAUGUCUAUGCAGAUUUGUGGAACAGAUAUUAAAACAUCCUUUAAAAUGAUUUAUGCUGUAGGGUUGAGGUAGCACAAGGAGUCCAGCGGCUCAAAUAACAAAUAGGAGCAAAGAUGUGAAAUGCAUCUUUGGUGUUUUAUAUCACAGCAGAUGACUUUGCUCCCUGUAAAAGGAGGAUGUAAUCACUUGGCAGAUCUGGAAGAUCUCUACAAGGCACUGUAGACUGCAUCCUUAAGGGAGGAGAGCUCUUUUACAGGGAUACACUUAAUCCUUUGACCUGAUGAGUGCUCAAACCAUCACCUCUAUUUAUCUUAGGCCUCCAAAGGAAUUUUUGGGAUCUAGUUGGUGAACAUGCCAUUGCAAACACCAGGCCUGAACCCGACCAGAGAUUGUGAGCUUGUGAUCUCUCUGAGAGCAGCAACAUCAGGCUUUCUCCAAGCUGAUUACAGGAAUAGACUUCCCCUGACAAGAUGAGAAACACAGGCCCUUGUGACUGCAAUGUGAGACUGUGUGCUUGGAUUCACUCAGAACUCAAGGGAAGGGGUGAUGGAAAACACCACCUCUGCUUCUGUGCUGACCUGGCUGCUUUUCUGGGCUGUAUUUGAUGGAGCAAUCAGAAUGGUGCUGCUGCAAACAUCAGUGGAAACAGCAAGUGUGGAAAAUAUUUUCUAAUGACAGAAGAGCUAAGCUAAUUUUACAGCUGAAAUCUUUGUGGCUGCUGGGAUGCACCUGGAGCAAAGGUCUGUGCUGCUGGGAGAGGAAGAGCGAGAUCUCCAGAGAUGAAACACCGCGGUCCUCACUCGACAGCAGCCUUGUUCUAUUAAAAACCACAUCCUGCAUGUGUGGCUUGCCUGAGGCAAGGCCCAGCAUCAAGGCAGCCUGUCCACCCUGAAAGCAGCUCCUUGCAAAUCCAGCUGGGCACUUGUUCCCUGGCAGCUCCCUGAAAGCACAGACAACACUGCUGAGCUCCUCCUGACACCCUGAUGUCACAUUUCUGUGCUGAGGGCUGGGCUGGCUGGUCCCUCCACCACUGUGAGCCACAUUAAACUUAUUAUUGUGCAACAGCACAUCUUUCUCAAAGUUAUAGAGGAUGGUUUGCUACGUUGGUGAUUUUUUUUUAACUGUGCAAAAAGUGGUUAUUUGAGUUUUUUUACUUUUUCAUGCCAUGAAAGCUUCCUGAAUAGAUAUAUCUGGUGGCUGUGAGUUCAAGCUAAACUGCUUCAAAUUAUAAACAAGAAUCUUAAAACACGGAAAAAUCUUACAAAUGGAAAGACUUUUCAGCUCUCAUUUUUCAAAAAUUGCUACUGGAUGAGGUCAGGUAUGUUUCCUAAAGUGUUUGACCGGCAAUAAAUGCAAAUGAAAAUUUUGUAUUUUUAAAAUC
rnacentral:lncRNA from 1 species